CUCUUUCCAGCCAGGGUGUUUGUGUCUUUUUUCAAUAAAAGAUGAAAUUCUGCAGAAGUUGAAGUCUAUCACCUGGAAAAGCGUCCUACUUGCCAUAGGUCAUUGAGUCUUGCCUGCAGACAUCAGAUGGCUGUUUAUUGGCUCAUGCAAAUCAGUUGGUGUCUAUCCAGUUCCUAACAGGUCUCUUACCUAGAAGUUUACCUGGGAUGAAAGUGAAGCAAAAGAAUUUAUCAUGGAUAAGGUGCAGCAUGACAAGUUCAGUCACCAAACCAAAAUAUGAUUAUUCGCAGAGCUCCAGCGGUGAGUCCCUCUAUUUUCGGUGCACAGAAGUCUCUUUUCAGUGCAGAGAUGGCAGAAGGAGCAAUGAAGAUGCAGUAGAAAGCAGAGAAGUUAAAUGGGAGUUAUAGGGAGCCGUUGGAAGGAAUAGGAAGAUUCCUGUGGUGUGAUUAGAAUAUUGACCAGCCUGGCUACAAGCUCACAGACAGAUUUGACUGCUGUGAUGUUGCGAGUGUCCUGGACUCUGCAGUGCCAAAGGGGUUCUGCAAUCAAGUCCUUCUGUCAGUGGGAAACAUUUCUGUUUUGCCAACCCAAAGCAUUCAAACUUCAUGAGUCAGGGCCCCUAAAAUCAUGACAUUAAAAUAAUAGUUAAAAAAAUGAAAAAUUGCAUUGCUUUUCCUCUGCCCAUUAACUGAUCGCCCCAAAUUCAUGUGUGACCAUUUCAGGUUCAAAAUUCAACCUUGCAUGUACACAGAAUGCACCCCCAAGUCUGCAGCCGCCCACUGGCUGUUUCAAAAGGGAUUUGCAGUUACCGUCUAAUUCCUUAAAUGGAGAGCUACAAUUCUUUACUUCUUCAGACUCCUCCUUCCCCAUUGUGCCAUCCCCUCCUCACUUCCUCCUGCCCUCCACCCAGUCUCCUUCUCCCUUCAAGUUUUCCUUCUAUGCUUCCUUUCCCCACUCCUGCCUUUAUUCACCUGCCUUUGGAUCCAUGGCUAUGCAAUGGACAGCCCUCUCCCCCAUAGAGGCAGAAUGUAGCUGAAGUGAAGUCCUUGGGUUUGCCCGGGGUGGGGAAGGGAUUCUGUUCGCCUGAUGCCUGGUUAUUCAGGCUGAAUCCAUAGAAUUGAAUUUGGUUCUUAGCCGUCACUGCCAAAAGCUGAAUAUGUGGUAUACUGGUUCAGAUCCAGAAAUUAGCGUUUCUCUUACUUAAUUGGCCUCUCAGAGUUGGUAAGACAACUCCCACCUUUUC